rnacentral:lncRNA from 1 species
GUGUCAGGGAUUAGGACUCUUCUUAUCAGCUAAUUGAACCCUCAAAUGUUGCUCUGUUUUUAUCAUGUAGCUGUUCUUUGUGUUAUCCUUGCUUUACCAAACUCAUGUUAAUUGUGCUGUUUAAUCACUGAUUAUGAAUAUGUUUGCACAGAUAUGGAACUGGUGCCGACUUCUGAACCGCUAAAGCAUCUAUCCCACUAGGCCAGUACUCACCAUGCUUGAUGAUAAACCUGCAGAUUUCUGGUCAGAUUCUGCAGCUCCGCGAUCUCUACCUGCCAGCAAGAACAAGAAGUUCAGAGAUCCAGCUCCAAUCUCCAUGCGUGGAGGAAACAUACAUAGAUCGUUGAAAUAUCUCGCCUUGUAAGUGUGUCAAACACACAAUGUUGCCAAUUGCUUUUCCUCCUUCAUUAUGAAAUAAUAAUUCCCAUCUAAUUUGACGCAACUACCAUGAUCCGAUUAGGACUCGUCCCUGAGUAGGAGGAG